AAUAAAGAAGCGAAAUGAUCGCAUUUAGUUUCGGCCUAAACUUUGGUAAAUUAUACCCUUUAUUU
rnacentral:tRNA from 1 species